rnacentral:misc_RNA from 1 species
GAUGAAGAACGUAGCGAAAUGCGAUAAGUAAUGUGAAUUGCAGAAUUCAGUGAAUCAUCGAAUCUUUGAACGCACAUUGCGCCCGCCAGUAUUCUGGCGGGCAUGCCUGUUCGAGCAUCAUUUCAACCAUCAAGCCCCCGGGCUUGUGUUGGGGACCUGCGGCUGCCGCAGGCCCUGAAAAGCAGUGGCGGGCUCGCUGUCACACCGAGCGUAGUAGAUUUUAUCUCGCUCUGGGCGUGCUGCGGGUUCCGGCCGUUAAACCACCCUUUUAACCCAAGGUUGACCUCGGAUCAGGUAGGAAGACCCGCUGAACUUAAGCAUAUCAAUAAGCGGAGGA